AACAAAAAUAGAAGGAGAGACUAACAAAACACAAAAGAAACAUUCGAAAAAAAAAAAUUAGUCGCGUAUUUCCGUUCUUUUCUCUUUUUUCUUGUUCCCUUUUUUUUUUUUAAAUUU
rnacentral:RNase_P_RNA from 12 species